rnacentral:rRNA from 1 species
GAAUGGCUCACCAAGGCGACGAUGCGUAGCCGACCUGAGAGGGUGAUCGGCCACAUUGGGACUGAGACACGGCCCAGACUCCUACGGGAGGCAGCAUG